rnacentral:rRNA from 1 species
AUGUCAGUUCCUAUUUAUUGCAUGUUUUAUGUUUCGCAGAAACCCAAUAUCAAACGGAGUCCAAAUGGGAUAAAAACGGAUGGAGGAUUAUUUUGGAAUAUUUGGGAUUUUCCGGAGGAAGAAUCAACGCGAAACGGUGCUCGAGGUGGCCAGGAGAUAGCCCCCCCUGGGCGUGCCUGGCACUCUCCAGGGCCACCCAUAAGGCAGUUGACGCUCUUCUUUUUCUGCAAGAAAGAUAAUUUUAUGACAAAAAUCUGGGCGAAAGAUUCACCCCAAUCGGAGUUACGCAUCUCCAGAUAUAAAAGAAACGGUGAAGGGGCAGAAUCUGGGAACGCAGAAACAGAGAGAGACAGAGAGAUAGAUCCAAUCUUGGAGGGGAUCUCGCCCCUCCCACGCCAUGGGAGCCAAGGACCAGAGGGGAAACCCUUCUCCCGUCUAGGGAGGAGGUCAAGGAAGAAGAAGAAUAAGAUGGGGGGCCGUCUCCCCCUUGCUUCCGGUGGCGCCGGAGCGCUGCCGGGGGCCAUCAUCAUCACCGCGAUCUUCACCAACACCUCCGCCAUCUUCACCAACAUCUCCAUCACCUUCCCCCCUCUAUCUACAGCAUUCCACUCUCCCGCAACCCGAUGUACCCUCUACUUGAACAUGGUGCUUUAUGCUUCAUAUUAUUAUCCAAUGAUGUGUUGUCAUCCUAUGAUGUGUGAGUAG